GUUAUUGACGGCAUUGAUUACUGGAAUAUAUGAAGGAGAAAACGUUUCAGAGACUAUAAAAGAAGUAGUGGUCUUGAUAUCCGGAUUUUUUCAUAUCCGGAUCGGUCUGUCGCCACAUUGAUCCGGAUACGGCAGGUUUGACUGUACUUUGUUAUUGAAACU
rnacentral:lncRNA from 1 species